ensembl:lncRNA
CAAAGUCACACAGGGAGCGUGACGCAGGAUUUGUUAUAAAUACCUUCUCAUCAUGUCUCUCUGCUCCUUUUACACAAAUCACCUCGUACCAUGUUGGAUGUCUUGUGCAUUUUGGAUCUGUGUGACCUAUGGUCAAAGCUGCAGAUAACCUGUCCUCUAAAGCUGGUGACAGGCUCCUGUCAUCUCUUUAUGGCUGUGUUGCACUCAGGAGGCACGUCUCAGAUACGCACCACAUGUCCUACCCAAGCCUGGCAAAGUUAUAAUAUUAUAUUAUAAUAUUGUGUCUUUCUGUGAGAUUCUUCUCUUGGAAUGUAAAAAGGGCCCAGUUAAAAUAGCAGGAGAUUUUAUUAAUCUUGGCCCAUAUUCAGAGUUAAAUGUGUGUUUCAGAACUUAGGCAUAACUGUUUAAGCACUAUUCAGAAGUUGCAUGAGAGCUACGUACAUGGGGCAGAGUUUUGUUAAUUUGUUUUAUUUAUUUAUAGAUCUAUUAUUAUUUAUUGGACUUUCUUUAAAUUUUGUUGAUCACCUACUGUUUAUUUAUGGAUCACAUUUUAUUUUUGAUAACCAGAUGUACCUCUGCUAUAUACAUUGCCUUACAAAAUCAUUCAACGCCCUUAUAGUCAUAAGAAACCCUCUUGAGGUUUCUUCCUCAUGUUGUUUCAGCGAGUUUUUCCUUGCCAUCGUUGACUCUGAAUUGCUCAUUAGUGUUUACAUUUAGGAAUUGCUUAUUAAAAGGGUGAAAUGGGCAGGGACAUUAGCUGGGAAGUGUUUGUCAUUUGUGAACAACAUAAGUUUGGUCUUUUCUGGGUUUAGUUCAGUUCAGAUUGAAGUAAAAAGAAAUCUUCAGAUUGCACAGUUGAGACUGGUUAAUAUGAAAUGCAUAUAAAAGCAGUGUUGUGUCAUUUAAUUUUAAAAUUAAUGAAUUUUAAAUGUUAUUAGUUGUACAUAAGAAUAUUACUAACUGUAAAAUACUGUUUGCAUAAGUAUUGACUGCCAGAAAUUUACACAGAUGAACAAUAUUGCUCUAAUGAGGAGAUAGAUGCUUACAAGUGGCCUCUACAUGUAAACUAUCUUUUGUAAAAGUUCUCCUUUCCUAUAUAAAUGCCACUCUUAAUUCAAAUACCAUUGUUCAGACUGAAUCUGAAGGAAAGCUGUAAAAAUAAAGACCAAAGAGCAUUCUAAGGAAAUUAGAGGUAAAGUUAUAAACCUGCACAAGCUAGGAAAAGAUUACAAUACCUGUGAGCACUGCUGGAUCAAUAUGUUUAAGGUCUGCUGACAAAUAAUGAAUUUUGACUUUGAAAAUAUACUUUAAGAACAUAUUGGUUCGCAACAAAAAUACUGGAAAAAUCUAGAAAAGUGUAAAUUGUCAGCCAGACCAAUCUCAUGACUUUUGAGGGGGUUGAAUACUUUUGAAGCCACCUUAAUCAUCUGACUCGGUUUUAACAGAGAUGUCUGAAUGAGAUGUAAUGAAGAGAUGUAAUGAAGGAACACCUGUAUAACCAAACACACUAAAUGUUGUGACCUGAGGACAGGGACACAGGAAGGUGUUUUACAUUUACGUCACACCCAAAUUAAUCAGAUAUUUUUUUAUUUUAACAGACAAUGUGUGUUGAUUACAAUGAUUACCACAGCACGGUUUAAUUCUGGAAUCAGAAGAUGUUGAUUAAUUUACUGUAGCAGUACGGAUCUGAAUAUUUACGUCUGUAACAUUAAUGAUCAGGUCAUUGUGUUCACUCUAAUACGUUAUUGUUUCUACAGUAUAACAGCUCCUUCACAUGGCUUGUCUGGUGGAAGCACCAUAUAAGCGAUUAAUAAAUGUAUUACAAAUGUUAUUAUAUAACAAAGAAAAGUUUGCAAUCAUUUCUUUUAAAAGAGAACAUGUUGAUUACAAUUAUUAUACCACAGCACUGUGGUGCUCUCGAAUCAGAAGGUGUUGAUUUAUUUUCUACAGCAG